GCAGAUCCGACUCUUCACUGCGAAGCCUCCGAUUGUGCCAUCUCAGCAGCUCCUGGUGUCCGUGAAUUCGGAGGCGAGGAGGUGGAGUUCAUCUGGCGUAAUAAAAGUAAGCUGGGAGGAAAAUGUGACAGAUGUGGAGGCAUGUGCCAACGAGAAAAGCGAGAGUGGGACUGUCAGACAUGUCGACUCCGGCGUGGUGAUGGAUGAAGAGUGAGAGCUCAAAGACGACCCGGUCAUGGAGCUUGGAAAAGAAAGCGCCUGGACUUCUUUAAGUUUCUUCUUCGGUCAUAAGACCAUAUGCUGAAGAGACCCAGGUAUUUAAGCCCUAGUGGGAGCUGUCUCUUAUGGAGGGUCAUUGACCCACUAUUGAUUAUGUGCCUCAUCACAUGGUGUGAAAAACGGUGUGGGCCAAUAUCCUUAGAUUUGUUCUAUAACAGUUUGAGCAACAGAAGUACUUGGGUAGAAUUAAGAAAGGAUCAUUGUUUGGGGUAAAUUGACAGUAUACUGUUAUGUUAACCACAUAUUAUAACUUUCGUAUUUGUGUUUAUAUCUGCAUGUCUUGCUAGCGUGAUUUGUCUGACUGUGUCUUGUUUUCGUGCUAGUUCAGUGAUGACUUUGUGCUUUACAAAUGUGAGAGUUAAAUAUGGCUCUGUUAUAUAUUUCAUAAAAGCCAGCAGGCAAAGGUGUCUAAGAAGAGAUCGGUGCAUAUUAAUGGCUGUCCAGCAUAACAGUUAUCUGUGUGGUGACCAGUCUAGGGGUGUGGCUAAAGGGGGAGGGGACUGCAGUGGUAAGGACUGAAGAAAGUGUUUGUCAGGGAACAACAGUGUUGUCCUGCUCAAUCCAUUAUUGUAAAUAUAAAGUUACAUAUACAAGUUGUUGAAAUGUAGGCCAAGUUUUAACAGGUCUGAGGUUUAUUUUUAUAAAAAUGUCUGAGUUUUCAUAGACAGUCUGACAAGUUUUGGGUCGGCCCAAGUGGUGGGAAAAAUCCUAUUAUGUCAAACAAGUAAUAUUGUUAUUUAUUUUUAAUAUUAACCUAAUUUUUAAUAGAAAGAACAA